UACAGAGGUCUCAACCGUUGUUCGGAUUCAUUGGGCGUAAAGGGUGCGUAGGCGGUCGCGUAAGUCAGGUGUGAAAUCCCGGGGCUCAACCCCGGAACUGCACUUGAUACUGCGUGGCUAGGGUACUGGAGAGAAGACUGGAAUUUACGGUGUAGCAGUGAAAUGCGUAGAUAUCGUAAGGAAGACCAGUGGCGAAGGCGAGUCUCUGGACAGUUACCGACGCUGAGGCACGAAGGCCAGGGGAGCAAACGGG
rnacentral:rRNA from 1 species